rnacentral:rRNA from 1 species
UAAGAGCGAAUGGUGGAUGCCUUGACUGGUAAAGGCGAUGAAGGACGUACUAGACUGCGAUAAGCUACGGGGAGCUGUCAAGAAGCUUUGAUCCGUAGAUUUCCGAAUGGGGCAACCCAAUGUAUAGAGAUAUACAUUACCUAUAUAGGAGCGAACGAGGGGAAUUGAAACAUCUUAGUACCCUCAGGAAAAGAAAUCAAUAGAGAUUGCGUCAGUAGCGGCGAGCGAAAGCGCAAGAGGGCAAACCCAGUGCUUGCACUGGGGGUUGUAGGACUGUAAUGUGCAAGAGGUAAGUUUAGCAGAACAUUCUGGAAAGUAUAACCAUAGAGGGUGAUAGUCCCGUAUGCGAAAAACAAACCUUAGCUAGCAGUAUCCUGAGUAGGGCGGGACACGAGGAAUCCUGUCUGAAUCCGGGUCGACCACGAUCCAACCCUAAAUACUAAUACCAGAUCGAUAGUGCACAAGUACCGUGAGGGAAAGGUGAAAAGAACUGAGGUGAUCAGAGUGAAAUAGAACCUGAAACCAUUUGCUUACAAUCAUUCAGAGCCUUAUGUAGCAAUACAGGGUGAUGGACUGCCUUUUGCAUAAUGAGCCUGCGAGUUGUGGUGUCUGGCAAGGUUAAGCAAACGCGAAGCCGUAGCGAAAGCGAGUCUGAAUAGGGCGCUUAGUCAGAUGCUGCAGACCCGAAACGAAGUGAUCUAUCCAUGAGCAAGUUGAAGCUAGUGUAAGAACUAGUGGAGGACUGAACCCAUAGGCGUUGAAAAGCCCCGGGAUGACUUGUGGAUAGGGGUGAAAGGCCAAUCAAACUUCGUGAUAGCUGGUUCUCUCCGAAAUAUAUUUAGGUAUAGCGUUGUGUCGUAAUAUAAGGGGGUAGAGCACUGAAUGGGCUAGGGCAUACACCAAUGUACCAAACCCUAUCAAACUCCGAAUACCUUAUAUGUAAUCACAGCAGUCAGGCGGCGAGUGAUAAAAUCCGUCGUCAAGAGGGAAACAACCCAGACUACCAGCUAAGGUCCCUAAAUCUUACUUAAGUGGAAAACGAUGUGAAGUUACUUAAACAACCAGGAGGUUGGCUUAGAAGCAGCCAUCCUUUAAAGAAAGCGUAAUAGCUCACUGGUCUAGUGAUUUUGCGCGGAAAAUAUAACGGGGCUAAAGU